rnacentral:lncRNA from 1 species
GUUUCCGCAGGCUUCUUUUAACUCACAAGAGACAAUCGCGCGCUCACAGUUUCUCAGUUCAGGGCGGCCAUUACUCAGCUCACCCACUCCAGAUCUCAUCGCGCUCGUGUCCAUGUCCAUGGCGUCGGCGUCGGCGUCUCAGCGGCAGCACCGCAUGGCCACGGCGUGCUUCCUCGCCGUCGCCGUGCUCGCGCUGUGGGCGGCGCCGACUGCGCGCGGCGCGCGGCCGCCU